AGGGCAAGUCUGGUGCCAGCAGCCGCGGUAAUUCCAGCUCUCAAAAUGCAUAGAAUUAUUGCUGCGGUUAAAAGGCUCGUAGUUGGAUCUGUGCUAGCCGUCCGGUGCACUCGCUGAGUGUUACUGGUUCGGUUGGCUUUUCUGCCGGUCUUUCCCCGGCGUUGGCCUUUAUCGGUCGGCGUCGGUGGGCUGGCGAGUUUACUUUGAACAAAUCAGAGUGCUUCAAACAGGCGUUUCGCUUGAAUGUUCGUGCAUGGAAUAAUAGAAGAGGAUUUCGGUCCGAUUUUAUUGGUUUUGCUGACCGAGAUAAUGGUUAACAGAGACAAACGGGGCCAUUCGUAUUGCUACGUGAGAGGUGAAAUUCUUGGACCGUAGCAAGACGGACUACAGCGAAAGCAUUUGGCAAGAAUGUCUUCAUUAAUCAAGAACGAAAGUCAGAGGUUCGAAGGCGAUCAGAUACCGCCCUAGUUCUGACCGUAAACGAUGCCAACUAGCGAUCCGCCGGCGGAUUUAUUCGCCCUGGUGGGGAGCUUCCCGGAAACGAAAGUCUUCCGGUUCCGGGGGAAGUAUGGUUGCAAAGCUGAAACUUA
rnacentral:rRNA from 1 species